rnacentral:lncRNA from 1 species
GAUGCGAGCUUCGUUUCUAAUUGGGCAUGAUGUCGGGCUCACUGUAUCAAUUGGAGCAUGCAUAGUAGUCUCUGAACAUUCUGGUUUAGAAUUCUAUUUUUGUUCGGCAACCUUCAAAACAGAGAGGUCACAAUUCCGUUCCGAUCACUUUAUGGACCUAUUUCCACCUUUUGCUCUCCGGCCCUGCUUACACUUUUCUGCAAUACCUAAAUCUAGCUUUGAGAUUCAACAACAGUUGUUUAGUGGAUGCAAGGUUUUUGUGGGUAAUAUUUUCUGAUGGCGCAAAAUGUAUGACAUUACUGCUAUGCAUCAAAAUCAUUCAGAAGGGUUUAAGGUUUCAGAAAAAGGACAAUAUUCUCUUCACAAUGAACUUGGUCAAAGCACAUAAUGCAAUUUAUCUAUGUAGUGGAAUUUGUUAUCGGCUAGAGGGAGUUAUGGGUUUAGAGCUUAAAAUAAUUGCUUAUUGUCUAUUAUUGCUACAGAUUGAAAUGUUUUCUUCUAGAUACUCAAGCAUGGGAGGCAGCAUGGAUUUAUUUAUGAAAGGUGGCAGACACAACCAUGAGGUGUUCACGCACAUUUACCUGCAUUCUUAUCUUGACCAUGGGAGCCAAUUCUGAUACAUGCCGACAGUACAGAAAUGUACGAUCAUGAGAGAGAGGACUAAGGCUAUAGAAUUUGUGACUAUGUAUAAGGGCUCUUCAUCAAGUGUGUGCACUGUACUUUAUGAAUUUUUAUUUGUGAAUUUUUUCAUGAUAUGUUGCACACUGUCGCAGAAUGUAACAUGAAAAAGAAUUAAUGUUUUGGAUGGAUUCUCUGAGAUGCCUGAC